rnacentral:rRNA from 1 species
UACGUAGGGGGCAAGCGUUGUCCGGAUUUAUUGGGCGUAAAGAGCGUGUAGGCGGCUUGGUAGGUCCGCUGUGAAAACUCGAGGCUCAACCUCGAGAUGUCGGCGGAAACCACUUGGCUAGAGUCCGGAAGAGGAGAGUGGAAUUCCUGGUGUAGUGGUGAAAUGCGUAGAUAUCGGGAGGAACACCAGUGGCGAAGGCGACUACCUGGCCUGUUCUUGACGCUGAGGCGCGAAAGCUAGGGGAGCAAACGGG